rnacentral:lncRNA from 1 species
GUUGAUUUUUUUAAUAAAGAGCUUUGUCUUUCGAGAGAAGAGUAUUCUCUCCUUCUUGUUUUCGGCAGAUCCAUCGAGAUCUCAAAGAGUUCAAGAAGCACGUCCCAAGCGAGGAUACCUUAGAGUCCCUUGGUUGAGCUGGCAGGUCCUAAUCGAUUCCUUGAAUCUAUUGGUUGAGCUUUUUAUUGUUGCUUCCACUCCAUCAUUUAGUAUCAGAGCCGCUUGUUCUCUGAUAGCUUCAUCAGAGACUGACCGAUUCUGGUUGUUAUGGUGAGUCAAAGCAUCUAUCCUAUCCAAAACGAAAGUCCUUUUCUUGAAAGAAAAGAAAACCAUGAUGUCUAUAGAGAGAUCUAUGGUGAUCCCAUCUUCGAUAUAUAUCAUUAAGAUGUCAUGAUUUAAACUUCGUGUUCUGAGAAGGUGAUUUCAAGAAUCUAACAGAUGCAGAAUACGUUCAUGCAACAUCACCUUCAUGUAAAAUCCGAGCAAGGACAGAUCAGUGGAGAGUUCAAGAUUUGUGCAGAAAUCGUGCAAAAUCCGGGCUAUCGCAGAUCUGCGAAAAAUUACAAGUCGGUGCACAUCUGGUUUGUGCAAAGUCCGUACGAAAUCCGGUCUGUGCAAAAUCCGUACAAAAUUCGGUUUGCACAAAAACAAAACAUUCUCAACACAAAACCGAUGUGGAUAAACCGGUUGAAGAUUCGAGGACGAAUCUUUCUUGGCCGACGAGACCUGAUGCAGCGUAUAAUUAAUAGUUAGGGUUUUAGGGUUUUUAGAUUUUAUUAUAAAUAGCCUCUUACACUUAUUGUUUCAUUCAGUUAUUGAUUUUUUAAUAAAGAACUUUGGCUUUUGGGAGAAUUGUAUUCUCUAUCCCUUGUUUCGGCAGAUCCAUCGAGAUCUCAACGAGUUCAAGAAUUAGGUCCCGAGCGAUGAUUCCUUAGAGUCCCUUGGUUGAGCUGG